GGGGGCGUACUGGUUUCGACCUGAAGAUCUCGCUUCCGACGGCAUGCCGAGGACGAUCCGUUGGCCUCGUAAAACCCCGGGUCAAAACAUUAACUGCUAACGAAGAGUUGGCACUCGCAGCCUAAUCGGCUCGACGUUCGUCUCGGAACACCUGCUACUGAGAACGAACGCCAUUAGCAGGCAUGGUCGUCGGCGGAGUUCGCGCGCUGGCAGCCGAGAAAGUUCAUGCGAGCUAGGCGAAGUCACUCGAAGUCGGCCCGUGACGAUUUCGCAGAAAAUUCAGGCUGGCUAAGCAUGUAGUCGUUGGAUUUGAGCUAGUCAGGGACGGGGGUUCAACUCCCCCCGCCUCCACCA
rnacentral:tmRNA from 1 species